rnacentral:misc_RNA from 1 species
AUGACCAAAGCUACAAUAAAAACAAAAAUAAAGGUUUACCUACUACAAGACCGUAAGUACAUUGUAUUUUACAUUUUUAUAAACUGGAGUCUAUCUAUUCUAGUAUAUUACAACAGGGGCAUGGGACUGGCUCAAUUUUCCGUUUCCGAAAGGUAGGACCUCGCGAACAUGGCAUUUUAUGAUUGACAGGAGAGGAUGAGUAUGGAGGGAUCCUACAGCAAUCCUCACCCUCAGAAGUUCUUGAGGGCAAA